rnacentral:rRNA from 2 species
UGAGGGAAACGCCCGGUUACAUUCCGAACCCGGAAGCUAAGCCUCA